AGAGUUUGAUCAUGGCUCAGAGCGAACGCUGGCGGCAGGCUUAACACAUGCAAGUCGAGCGGGCGUAGCAAUACGUCAGCGGCAGACGGGUGAGUAACGCGUGGGAACGUACCUUUUGGUUCGGAACAACACAGGGAAACUUGUGCUAAUACCGGAUAAGCCCUUACGGGGAAAGAUUUAUCGCCGAAAGAUCGGCCCGCGUCUGAUUAGCUAGUUGGUGAGGUAAUGGCUCACCAAGGCGACGAUCAGUAGCUGGUCUGAGAGGAUGAUCAGCCACAUUGGGACUGAGACACGGCCCAAACUCCUACGGGAGGCAGCAGUGGGGAAUAUUGGACAAUGGGCGCAAGCCUGAUCCAGCCAUGCCGCGUGAGUGAUGAAGGCCCUAGGGUUGUAAAGCUCUUUUGUGCGGGAAGAUAAUGACGGUACCGCAAGAAUAAGCCCCGGCUAACUUCGUGCCAGCAGCCGCGGUAAUACGAAGGGGGCUAGUGUUGCUCGGAAUCACUGGGCGUAAAGGGUGCGUAGGCGGGUCUUUAAGUCAGGGGUGAAAUCCUGGAGCUCAACUCCAGAACUGCCUUUGAUACUGAGGAUCUUGAGUUCGGGAGAGGUGAGUGGAACUGCGAGUGUAGAGGUGAAAUUCGUAGAUAUUCGCAAGAACACCAGUGGCGAAGGCGGCUCACUGGCCCGAUACUGACGCUGAGGCACGAAAGCGUGGGGAGCAAACAGGAUUAGAUACCCUAGUAGUCC
rnacentral:rRNA from 1 species